CCUUAGGGUGAGAAUCCCAAGGCGCUUGAGAGAACUCGGGUGAAGGAACUAGGCAAAAUGGCACCGUAACUUCGGGAGAAGGUGCGCCCUUUGGUGUGGUCACGUGCGUGACUGAGCAUCGAAGGGUCGCAGUAACCUGGCCGCUGCGACUGUUUACCAAAAACACAGCACUCUGCAAACACGAAAGUGGACGUAUAGGGUGUGACGCCUGCCCGGUGCUGGAAGGUUAAUUGAUGGGGUCAGCCGCAAGGCGAAGCUCUUGAUCGAAGCCCCAGUAAACGGCGGCCGUAACUAUAACGGUCCUAAGGUAGCGAAAUUCCUUGUCGGGUAAGUUCCGACCUGCACGAAUGGCGUAACGACAGCGGCGCUGUCUCCACCCGAGACUCAGUGAAAUUGAAAUCGCUGUGAAGAUGCAGCGUUCCCGCGGCAAGACGGAAAGACCCCGUGAACCUUUACUAUAGCUUUACACUGAACGUUGAGUUCUUCUGUGUAGGAUAGGUGGGAGGCUAUGAAACCAGGACGCUAGUUCUGGUGGAGCCAUCCUUGAAAUACCACCCUGAAGUGCUUGACGUUCUAACCUAGGCCCGUAAUCCGGGUCAGGGACCGUGUAUGGUGGGUAGUUUGACUGGGGCGGUCUCCUCCCAAAGAGUAACGGAGGAGCACGAAGGUACGCUCAGCGCGGUCGGACAUCGCGCACUGUGUGCAAAGGCAUAAGCGUGCUUGACUGCGAGAUCGACGGAUCAAGCAGGUACGAAAGUAGGUCUUAGUGAUCCGGUGGUUCUGUAUGGAAGGGCCAUCGCUCAACGGAUAAAAGGUACUCCGGGGAUAACAGGCUGAUACCGCCCAAGAGUUCAUAUCGACGGCGGUGUUUGGCACCUCGAUGUCGGCUCAUCACAUCCUGGGGCUGUAGCCGGUCCCAAGGGUAUGGCUGUUCGCCAUUUAAAGUGGUACGCGAGCUGGGUUCAGAACGUCGUGAGACAGUUCGGUCCCUAUCUGUCGUGGGCGUUGGAGAUUUGAGGGGGGCUGCUCCUAGUACGAGAGGACCGGAGUGGACGUUCCGCUGGUGUUCGGGUUGUCAUGCCCAUGGCAUUGCCCGGUAGCUACGAACGGAAGUGAUAACCGCUGAAAGCAUCUAAGCGGGAAGCACGCCCCAAGAUGAGAUCUCCCGAGAGCUUGACUCUCCUAAAGGCACCAUCAAGACUAGGUGGUUGAUAGGUCGGGUGUGGAAGCGCAGCAAUGCGUUGAGCUAACUGAUACUAAUGAGCCGUGAGGCUUGACC
rnacentral:rRNA from 1 species